rnacentral:rRNA from 1 species
UACGGGGGGGGGCAAGCGUUGUUCGGAAUUACUGGGCGUAAAGGGCUCGUAGGCGGCCAACUAAGUCCGACGUGAAAUCCCAAAGCUUAACUUUGGAACUGCGUCGGAUACUGGAUGGCUUGAAUUCGGGAGAGGGAUGCAGAAUUCCAGGUGUAGCGGUGAAAUGCGUAGAUAUCUGGAGGAAUACCGGUGGCGAAGGCGGCAUCCUGGACCGACAUUGACGCUGAGGAGCGAAAGCUAGGGGAGCAAACGGG